rnacentral:misc_RNA from 1 species
GAUGAAGAACGCAGCGAAAUGCGAUACGUAAUGUGAAUCGCAGAACUCAGUGAACCAUCGAAUCUUUGAACGCACAUUGCGCCCGCCAGUAUUCUGGCGGGCAUGCCUGUUCGAGCGUCAUUACAACCCUCAGGCCCCCGGGCCUGGCGUUGGGGAUCGGCGGAAGCCCCCUGCGGGCACAACGCCGUCCCCCAAAUACAGUGGCGGUCCCGCCGCAGCUUCCAUUGCGUAGUAGCUAACACCUCGCAACUGGAGAGCGGCGCGGCCACGCCGUAAAACACCCAACUUCUGAAUGUUGACCUCGAAUCAGGUAGGAAUACCCGCUGAACUUAAGCAUAUCAAUAAGCGGAGGA